rnacentral:rRNA from 1 species
CGCGGUGCAUUAGCUAGUUGGUAAGGUAAAGGCUUACCAAGGCGAUGAUGCAUAGCCGAGUUGAGAGACUGAUCGGCCACAUUGGGACUGAGACACGGCCCAAACUCCUACGGGAGGCAGCAGUAGGGAAUCUUCCACAAUGGACGAAAGUCUGAUGGAGCAACGCCGCGUGAGUGAAGAAGGGUUUCGGCUCGUAAAGCUCUGUUGGUAGUGAAGAAAGAUAGAGGUAGUAACUGGCCUUUAUUUGACGGUAAUUACUUAGAAAGUCACGGCUAACUACGUGCCAGCAGCCGCGGUAAUACGUAGGUGGCAAGCGUUGUCCGGAUUUAUUGGGCGUAAAGCGAGUGCAGGCGGUUCGAUAAGUCUGAUGUGAAAGCCUUCGGCUCAACCGGAGAAUUGCAUCAGAAACUGUUGAACUUGAGUGCAGAAGAGGAGAGUGGAACUCCAUGUGUAGCGGUGGAAUGCGUAGAUAUAUGGAAGAACACCAGUGGCGAAGGCGGCUCUCUGGUCUGCAACUGACGCUGAGGCUCGAAAGCAUGGGUAGCGAACAGGAUUAGAUACCCUGGUAGUCCAUGCCGUAAACGAUGAGUGCUAAGUGUUGGGAGGUUUCCGCCUCUCAGUGCUGCAGCUAACG